GUCGAGCGCACUCUUCGGAGUGAGCGGCGGACGGGUUAGUAACGCGUGGGAACGUACCCAGAUCUACGGAAUAGCCUCGGGAAACUGAGAGUAAUACCGUAUACGCCCUUCGGGGGAAAGAUUUAUCGGAUUUGGAUCGGCCCGCGUUAGAUUAGAUAGUUGGUGAGGUAACGGCUCACCAAGUCUACGAUCUAUAGCUGGUUUUAGAGGAUGAUCAGCAACACUGGGACUGAGACACGGCCCAGACUCCUACGGGAGGCAGCAGUGGGGAAUCUUGGACAAUGGGCGCAAGCCUGAUCCAGCCAUGCCGCGUGAGUGAUGAAGGCCUUAGGGUCGUAAAGCUCUUUCGCCAGAGAUGAUAAUGACAGUAUCUGGUAAAGAAACCCCGGCUAACUCCGUGCCAGCAGCCGCGGUAAUACGGAGGGGGUUAGCGUUGUUCGGAAUUACUGGGCGUAAAGCGCGCGUAGGCGGACCAGAAAGUAAGGGGUGAAAUCCCAGGGCUCAACCCUGGAACUGCCUCUUAAACUCCUGGUCUUGAGUUCGAGAGAGGUGAGUGGAAUUCCGAGUGUAGAGGUGAAAUUCGUAGAUAUUCGGAGGAACACCAGUGGCGAAGGCGGCUCACUG
rnacentral:rRNA from 1 species